rfam:Ovis aries breed Texel chromosome 1, whole genome shotgun sequence.
UUCCUGGUGGCUCAGACAGUAAAGCAUCUGCCCACAAUGCGGAAGACCCAGGUUCAAUCCUGGGUUGGGAAG